rnacentral:lncRNA from 1 species
ACCUCGCACCCAGCAGAUUGGCCCAUAUGACAGUAAAAGAAAAUAAUGAAUGUUUGAGGGGAUGUGGCAAAAUGCCAUUCUGGAAGGCAAUUUGAGAUUAUGUGCAAAGGGCUUUAAAUGAAUGCCUACCCUUUGAUCCAGCCAUACCACUGCUGGGUUUGAACCCCAAAGAGAUAAUAAGGAAAAAUCUUGUACAAGAAUAUUCAUAGCUGCGCUCUAUGUGGUGGCCAAAAACUGGAAAAUGAGGGGAUGCCCUUCAAUUGGGGAAUGGCUGAACACAUUGUGGUAUACGUUGAUGAUGGAAUACUGUUGUGCUCAAAGGACUGAUGAUCUGGAGGCUUUCCAUAUGAACUGGGAGAACCUCAAUGAACUGAUGCAGAGUGAGAGGAGCAGAACCAGAAGAACAUUGUACCCAGAAAGGAAAACACUGUGGAAAAAUCCAGUGUAACAGACCUUGCUACUGGUAGCAAUGCAACAAGCCAGGACACUCCUGAAAGACAUGUAAAAGAAUGCUGUCCACAGUGAGAGAAAGAACUAUGGGAGUAGAAAUGCAAAAGCAAAUCAUAAGACAUCACUUAUCACAUGUAUAUAUGGUGGGAGGAAGAGGUGGACAAAAUAAACGCAGUCGGCGAUGGCGAUCGGAGCCUCUUAUGAAAAGUUCGUGUCAUUGGAUUCAAAGACUUGCGGAAUCAGAGUGUCUGACAUGCAGGUUGGAAAACAUCUAGGGAGCGAGGCUUCUUACAGUGCAACCCACACCCUCUAGCUGGCGUUAGAUAAAGGAAUCCAAAAAUCAAAGCAGAUUCAGGAGCAAUGAUGAGCUUGCGUCUAAACUGUCUUUGUCUACACAUAGAUGUCUACAUUUCAAAUAACAGGAUUAGAAUUGCCUAUGCCAUUGAUCACCACGGAAUGAAGUCCUCCAAACCCAUCUUUAGUUUGCUUCGCCCGCCGCAGAAUUGGAAGAGCACUUAAUCAGUUCUGGCUCCGACCUUAUCUUACAUAUACUUCCUGUUUUCCUCAGAAAAAUCUCCAUUUAAAGGCUGCCAGAGAGAACUGUAUUAAGUCACUUUCCAGAAAGCGCAGAGGUUGCAGAUAACUGGGACAGUUCACAAGACAGCUGCUGGCACCCACAUAGCCCUUAACAAACUGAACUUCGAUCUAGUCUAAUUUACUUUCGAGAAAAAGAGUCAGACCAAAGGUGUCCAAGCUUUUGAGCAGUUGACCAUGUGAUCAAAAUGCAUCUACGUUGUUUCCAAGUUAAUUUAAGUAUGUAAUUAAUGAAAGGUGGCUUUAAUUGUGCUACUAAUUUGUCCAAACGUUGGCAAUAAUGCCUGGUGAUAACCAAUCACACAUCAGUUCAUGUGUGCUAAUUAAAAGAUUGUUUUUU